rnacentral:piRNA from 1 species
UAAGUAGGGACCACCUGAGGUGAGAUC